CAAAAUGUAUGAACAAGAUGAAAUGAUACAAGAAGUAGAACCAAGAAAACAAGAACCACAAGGACCUAAAGGACCACCAGGAAUGAAAGGAAGACAAGGACCACCAGGACCUAGAGGACAAAGAGGACCUAAAGGAAUGCAGGG